UCUUUGUUGGUAUGUGGUGCUGAGGAUCGAACCCGGGCCACACGCAUGCCAGGCGAGCGCGCUACCGCUUGAGCCACAUCCCCAGCCCUUCAAAUAACACUUUCUAAAUACCAAACCUAUUUGCAUUUCUCAGCAUAUCAUGUGAGGACUCUGGUCACCGCUACAUGAUGGGGACACUUUGUGCCAUGGAUCAUCCAGUUCUUAAGUUGGAGCAUGGCUUCUCCUGUGAUACUAUAUACAUUGUCAGCUGCCCAGCAGGGGCCAGCAAGGAGGGGCAGGCAUACAGUGAGGGAAAAAUUGCAUGUAUCAGUCAGCUAGCGCUGCAUAACAAAUAUCCCCAAAACUUAAAGGUGUAAAACAAAACAUUCAUUGAUUCUCAGGAAACCAUCAGUGCGCUGGGUGGUUCUAUUAGUCUGGCUGGUCUUGGCUGUGGUCAUUUGGUGAGUCACCCUUGGCAGGGACAUCUGUACCUUGGAGUGAGUGUUCCAACCUGCUCCCCUGGGUCUAUCCUCACGGCCGCAGCAGGAUUCCAAGAGAGACACCCAUAACCACCCAGGGCUUGGUCCACUCCUGCUUAGGGGUCAGCUGUCUCUCUUCCACUUGUCAAAGUCAUGUGACCCAGCUCACAGCCAGGGCAGGAAGGAAGGUGCUACCAAGGGACACGGACACGGGCCAUCGAGAAUCAUUGGGACCAUUACUGCAAUCAUCUACCGCAAGCUGCGUCCUCAGCCGAUGGGAACACGGUCUCCAUGGCAACCACCAAGGGCCACUCUGAGCCCCCCCCCCAUGGCACCAAGGGGAGUUUCUGGAGCCGUGGAGAGAAAGAAUCUUCUAGCAAUCGGCCACUUUGAGGCCAGCAAGGUCCGUAACCUACCAACCAGACGGACGUCCUCAUUUCCUAGCCCAGAGAGGUUGAGCGACUCCUUAGAGGUCACACAGCAAGCUCAGGCAGCCGUGCUUCCUGAGCAGACAGUGCUCCACGGGCUCAAAACCUCAAUCAACACCAUCAUCUCUAAAUUGCUGCGAGCUCGCUCUUCUCCACACGACGACGCAUCAUGGGUUUUGCUCAACAGGACAGCGGGAGAGGGGACAGGGACAUGCAGUCCGCCUUGGCAGAAAGAAAGCAGCUGUUCUCGCCGCCACCCCACCCGCUGUUCCAGAGACUUCUUAGUGCUUCAUGGCUACACCCGGGGGCGGGGGUGGGGCGGGGGUUGGGAGUCAGGAUUGGGAAACAGGCAGACAGUUGGACUCCAGGAUGUACCACUAACUCCCCGUGUCACCGUGGGGGGACAUCUCUGCCCUCUCUGGAUCCCACUGACCACUCAAAGUGUCCCCCAAGUCCAGGCAGGGUGGCGCAUACUUGUCAGCCCAGUGGCUGGGGGAGGCUGAGGCAGGAGGAUCGCAAGGUAGAGGCCAGCCUCAGCAAAAGCGAGCCCCCAAGCAACUCAGCGAGACCCUGUCUCUAAAUAAAAUAGGAGUGUUUGUUGGCAGGAAAGGAAGAUGGAGCUUCAUCUCUCAAUCUCUCCUUUCAGUAUGUGCCUGGCCAUAUUUGGAAGACACUUAUGCAAAAAGUAAUCGGAAAUUCACGUUUGACUAGCUACCAACCCUCACUGAACUGGGGAGGUUCUGUUCCGUUCUGGCUCAUGAGGUCAGCCUCCUCGGAGGCUGUGCAGAGCGGAGGCCGGGAAAGACGCAGGCCAGGGCUGAGGAGCCAUCUGCACCCGCCAGCUCACCUCUGGGCCUCCACUUUGUGAAUGAUGAAAUGCAUGCUGGCUGGAUGGCUAGAUGUGGAGGUGCAUGCUUAUGACCCCAGCCCCCUCCAGGCUGAUGUGGGAGGAUUUGCAAAUCGGAGGCCAGCCUCUGCAAUUUACACCUUGUUUCAAAACCCAGAGGGCUGCUGAUGCAUCUCUGUGCUGAUCUGGAAUCCACGAGGCCCUGCGUCCGUCGGGUGGAUACUAUCGAGUGGACUUGCUGGACGGGCUUAUUCGGUAUUGGGAUGUAACCCGUCUUAAAUCAUCUAGAUGCUGGUCUCGGAAAAGUGCAUCAACUCUCCAAGGACAAGAAAGGAGCGCAGAUCCUUCUUGAUCAAGGUCCCCGG